AAGUCUCUCAUAUCAAUCUCUAUUAGGUCCACACUCAAUUUACUAUAUGCUAUAUUUAUGAUAUAAGCUCUGUAUAUAACCUCCCAUAAUAGUGUCAUACUCUAGGAGUAUACACAAACAAUACAUAAUUAAGUCUUUCAAAUAAUACAUUUAAGUUUGUUGCAAAAGUAUGUGAGACAAAUAAAUGUGAAGCACCAAUAUCAAUCAAAAUAUGUGCAAGUUGAUUACAGAUAAUGUACGUAUCCUGUAUCACGUCUGGGUUAUUUUCAGC
rnacentral:lncRNA from 1 species